GUGGGGAAUAUUGGACAAUGGGCGCAAGCCUGAUCCAGCCAUGCCGCGUGAGUGAUGAAGGCCCUAGGGUUGUAAAGCUCUUUCAGUGGGGACGAUAAUGACGGUACCCACAGAAGAAGCCCCGGCUAACUUCGUGCCAGCAGCCGCGGUAAUACGAAGGGGGCUAGCGUUGUUCGGAUUUACUGGGCGUAAAGCGCACGUAGGCGGAUCGUUAAGUCGAGGGUGAAAUCCUGGAGGUCAACUCCAGAACUGCCUUCGAUACUGGCGAUCUUGAGUCCGGAAGAGGUGAGUGGAACUCCUAGUGUAGAGGUGGAAUUCGUAGAUAUUAGGAAGAACACCAGUGGCGAAGGCGGCUCACUGGUCCGGUACUGACGCUGAGGUGCGAAAGCGUGGGGAGCAAACAGGAUUAGAAACCCGGGUAGUCC
rnacentral:rRNA from 1 species